AACGAACGCUGGCGGCAUGCCUAACACAUGCAAGUCGAACGAACCCUUCGGGGUUAGUGGCGCACGGGUGCGUAACGCGUGGGAAUCUGCCCUUUGCUUCGGAAUAACUCAGGGAAACUUGUGCUAAUACCGGAUGAUGUCUUCGGACCAAAGAUUUAUCGGCAAGGGAUGAGCCCGCGUAGGAUUAGGUAGUUGGUGGGGUAAAGGCCUACCAAGCCGACGAUCCUUAGCUGGUCUGAGAGGAUGAUCAGCCACACUGGGACUGAGACACGGCCCAGACUCCUACGGGAGGCAGCAGUGGGGAAGAUGGACAAUGGGCGCAAGCCUGAUCCAGCAAUGCCGCGUGAGUGAUGAAGGCCCUCGGGUCGUAAAGCUCUUUUACCAGGGAUGAUAAUGACAGUACCUGGAGAAUAAGCUCCGGCUAACUCCGUG
rnacentral:rRNA from 1 species